rnacentral:lncRNA from 1 species
CGGGAGAUGCCCCGUGGGGGCCUGUCUCGAGGCCCUAAGAGAAAAAGAAGUCGGGAUGCAGAGUACCCAUCCUUUCCAGGAGAGAGUCCCCUACCUUGCAGACGAGCAGGGCUCAGGACCGUGGGGGCUGAGGCUUCCCUGUCUGAAGCAUGGCUCAGGUGUGGAGAAGGAUUUCUGAAGAGUCCCGGCACUCCGUCAUUAACAGCUGAAAAGAAGACUACCACAGAAAAACACCUUGAAUUAUCCUGUCGACCCAAGAAAGAACCUACCGCCUUUAAGAGUACCAGUGGGCUUGCAGCUAUAACGUGGAGUUCCAGUGAAAGUGAUCUGUCAGAUGAAGAUAAAACAGCUUUUAAAUCACACAGAGAUAAUAGAUAUCAUUCUAGAACAGGCAGGUGUUGUAACAGCAACAUUUUAUGUCCAGAAGAUGGGGCCAGUGAAGAUGACCUGCAGGUUAUUGACUGGGAGAUAGACAGUGAGAGGGAAGAUGCUUGUGAACGUGAUGAAUUUGAAGACCGAGAAAGUGUGCUGGAAAUAUCUGACUGUGCUUCUGGUGCAAGCAGUCGUUCUUUGACACCAGCAGAGACGCCACCUGAGCUUCCUAAGAUAAAUCCUACAGAGAUUUUAGAGUAUUCAUCAGAUAGUGAAGAAGAUGACAGCUCUGAGAACGUCUUGGUCAUUGAUUCAGAAUCCUCUCACAAAUACCACAUGGAUUUUGGGUCAAAUGGAACACAGGUUACAGAGAGAGGAGAAAACCUGAGGGUAGAAUCUACGGAGACCAUUUUGCAGACACCCAAGAAACACACAAAACUUCCCAAGACUCCAGAAAGUUCAGCAAAGAGGAAGAAGCUUUUAAGAGGCGGGCUAGCAGAAAGACUUAAUGGACUGCAGAAUCGAGAGAGAUCCACCAUUUCUUUGUGGAGACAUCAGGGUCUUUCUUACCAAAAGACACUUUCAGGUAUAAAAUCUGGUGUCUUAACUGUGAAGAUUCUAGAGCUGCAUGAGGAGUGCACUGUCCACGUCGCCACGUGUAGGCAGCUGUCAGAGCUACAGGCUGACGGCCCUUCUCAGGGUGGGGCCGCGGAGGCCAGCCUGAAGGUUCUCUUCACCAAGGAGACUGCCCGCUGUCUCAGGGGGCGUCCACAGGAUGUUGUCCACAUCUAUCCUCCCUGGCAAAAGCUUAUUAUCCCAGGUGGAAGUUGCCCUGUUAUUCUGAAUACUUACUUUUGUCAGAAAGCUGUUGCCAAAGAAGAUUCAGAAGCAUCACGUGAUGGGCAUGAGUGUGACGUGCCCUGUCCGAGGAGGAGCAGCACUCUGGCUCAGGUGUUCCAGUUUAAGAGCCUAACCGAUAGCUCACCCGAAAGCAAGGUUCUGUGUGAUCGUCACACUGCAGUGGGCACAGACCGGACCCUCCAUCCCGAACAAGCAGAGCCAUGCGUCCCCAGCCGAGCUCCCCUGAGGGAUUCUCUGCUGGAUGCAGUUGAGAGCCACGGAGCUGCUGCCUGGACGGGAGUGGGCGUGCGAGUGGUGGUGCAGAGAGUGUACUCCCUGCCCUGCAGAGGCCAGCAGGCAGACAGCACAGCCCCACCCAGAGCACGAGUCUGCCUUCUUGUGCAAGAUGCCCUUGGACUCUUCAGUGAGGUGCACUUGGAGGGCGACAUACUGAAGGACAGGCAGCUGGAGGGGAAGUGCUGCAGGCUGUCAGGCAUGAAGGUUCUGCAGAAGGUCACCAGAGCAAGGAUGGCCGAGCUUUUUAGUUUGAUUGACACCAUGUGGCCUCCACGGGCAGCUCUGAAAGCAACAGGCCCUGGCACAGCCUUUGAGGAGAAAACUCAUCUGCCUCCUCCUAGCUGCUGUUACAUCCUCAGCGCUCAUCCAGACUUGGGGCAGAUUGAUGUAAUUGAAGAUGACCCCGUUGCAGAACUUUACCAGCCACCGACUCCCCGCUUCUUAAAAGAAAUUAUGCAGGCGGAUGGCCUCUGUACCCAUUGCAGCUUCUGUGCCAGAGUGAUUUACCGGAGACCACAGCUCACAGCUCCUGACCUUGCCGGUCACCGUCUUUGCCCAGUCAUGUCCACCAGCCAUGUGGGAUCGUCAGCCUGA